UACGUAGGGUCCGAGCGUUGUCCGGAAUUACUGGGCGUAAAGAGCUCGUAGGUGGUUUGUCGCGUUGUUCGUGAAAACUCACAGCUCAACUGUGGGCGUGCGGGCGAUACGGGCAGACUAGAGUACUGCAGGGGAGACUGGAAUUCCUGGUGUAGCGGUGGAAUGCGCGGAUAUCAGGAGGAACACCGGUGGCGAAGGCGGGUCUCUGGACAGUAACUGACGCUGAGGAGCGAAAGCGUGGGGAGCGAACAGG
rnacentral:rRNA from 1 species